UAGAGUAGCUGUGUCCUUCGGGACAAGGAGACAGGUGGUGCAUGGUUGUCGUCAGCUCGUGUCGUGAGAUGUUGGGUUAAGUCCCGCAACGAGCGCAACCCCUGUGGUUAGUUGCCAGCAAGUAGCGUUGGGCACUCUAGCCAGACUGCCGGUGAUAAAUCGGAGGGAAGGUGGGGACGACGUCAAAUCAUCAUGCCCUUUAUGUCCUGGGCUACACACGUACUACAAUGGCCGUUACAACGGGAAGCGAAGGAGCAAUCCGGAGCAAAUCCCUUAAAGGCGGUCCCAGUUCAGAUUGUGGGCUGAAACUCGCCCACAUGAAGGCGGAAUUGCUAGUAAUUGCAGAUCAGCAUGCUGCAGUGAAUACGUUCCCGGGCCUU
rnacentral:rRNA from 1 species